UCCCCUCCUCCCAUAUUUUUUGUAGGGUUGGUUUGGUGGGGGUUUUUUUCCUCUCCUGUUUUUUUUUCCUUGCAUUUCCGACAGCCAACCAAGAAACAGCUGGUGCAGAUUUAACCCGCUCCAGUCCCAUCUCCCACCAUGGAAAACUGACCAAAGCCAAGCCGUUGGACAACCCGCCAAUUCCCAUUCCUACUUCCCCGGGAACAGGCGCAGCAGAAAAGGGUUGCGCCUUUGAGUUCUUCAAAUUAAUAACCCUGGGAAGGGCAGAGAGCCGGCAGAUGAAAGGCAAGGUAUGGACUUUGAUCGUGCAAUCGGAGCCAUGCGGGCAGGCUCCCGAACCAUGUGGAGCACCCCUGAAGGUCAGCCUGGGCUGAUCAGAUUGCAGCAAGAGAGCCACAGAAAGCAGGGCAAACGGAGGUGGAAAAAUCUAUACACUCAAAUAUCUGCCAAGAGAUGAAAGAAAAGUUUGCUUCUGAUGCUGGGAUUUAUGAAUAAGAUCAACCGUGCAUCCCUAUGAAUGAACACCUCUCAUGAGGAAGAAAGAGCACACGGAAAAGUGAUUGCUCUGCUACUCCUAAACUCUGGAAUUCCCUUGAUGUGCUGUUACAAGCCAGAAAGGAUCACACAAAGCAGUGCAUACAUACACACAUAUGCUUUAUCCACCGAUCUCUUUUGAAGCAAACCUGAAAAAGUCUGUAGAUGGUGUACGCAUUUCAGCUAUUAAAGGUCAUGGAUAAGACAGCUAUUUAUCAGUUCAAGUAAGGUCAGUGUUACAUCCACAGGCUGAGAGCUCUGCCUUUUGCACAAAUGACACUGCCUGCCCUUAAUGCCCCAAGAAACUUUUGGCAAGCUAAGCAUAUGUAACGAGCCACAAACCUUACAUACAACCGCUGCAGUUCAUUAAUGUUCAACAGGAAGGUAUCAUAUCUGAAACGGGUUCUGUUUCUGUAUCACAGUGCAUUUCCUCUCCUCUCCUCCAAGCUCUCCACUGGUGAUUUCUGACAAAUUGUAUCCCCUGAUGGAGGAGGAAAGCUCACCAAGUAGUGAAUCGGUGGUUGUGGCUCUUACCAAGAACCACUCUCCUUGCUGCCAUUUAGGAAUAUUCUACCCCACAUAUUAAACUAUUGGUUCAUUUACUUUCUUUAUAAACACAGAAAAAGGGACCUUGGAAAACCAGUUUGUGCCAGCUUUAGACUUCUACUGGAGCUAAAAUCAGGGUUUUGGUUGAAUUCUAUAACAGAGUUUUUGAGGAAAAUGCUGUUAUAUAACUCUUCUUUUUUCCUUUCUGGGAGACAACCUAGGUAGAAGAGCCUAUGAGAAGCAGUCAAAUCUUCUAUUGCAGGUCUUGAGACAGGUGGCAAAGUACAAGGGCAGAAGGUUACUUUAAGGUCAGGGUGUUUCCCAUUCUUUCUAGGUAUAUCUAAAUGCUACAGGCAGGCAGGAACACUUCUGCUACAUUCACCUCCAAGAAACUUAACUUCUUCUCACUUGCAGUAAUUUGCUGUACUAAAUCCUGAGCUAAAGGCUGUAUCUUCUUCCUAGAAACCUUGUUGUUAUAAAUAAAUAAGGACAAAGAAAUAAAGAAUAAUCUCAAA